UACGAAGGGGGCUAGCGUUGCUCGGAAUUACUGGGCGUAAAGCGCACGUAGGCGGCUUUCUAAGUCGGGGGUGAAAUCCUGGAGCUCAACUCCAGAACUGCCUUCGAUACUGGAAAGCUCGAGUCCGGGAGAGGUGAGUGGAACUGCGAGUGUAGAGGUGAAAUUCGUAGAUAUUCGCAAGAACACCAGUGGCGAAGGCGGCUCACUGGCCCGGUACUGACGCUGAGGUGCGAAAGCGUGGGGGAGCAAACAGG
rnacentral:rRNA from 1 species